rnacentral:rRNA from 1 species
GAACCUUCCUAGAGUUGACCUCGAAUCAGGUAGGAAUACCCGCU